CGGAGCAUGCGGAUUAAUUCGAUGCAACGCGAAGAACCUUACCAAGGCUUGACAUACACCGGUAACGCCCAGAGAUGGGUGCCCCUUUGUGGUCGGUGGACAGGUGGUGCAUGGUUGUCGUCAGCUCGUGUCGUGAGAUGUUGGGUUAAGUCCCGCAACGAGCGCAACCCUCGUCCUAUGUUGCCAGCGGGUCAUGCCGGGGACUCAUGGGAGACUGCCGGGGUCAACUCGGAGGAAGUGGGGAUGACGUCAAAUCAUCAUGCCCCUUAUGUCUUGGGCUUCACGCAUGCUACAAUGGCCGGUACAAAGGGCUGCGAUACCGCGAGGUGGAGCGAAUCCCAGAAAGCCGGUCUCAGUUCGGAUUGGGGUCUGCAACUCGACCCCAUGAAGUCGGAGUCGCUAGUAAUCGCAGAUCAGCACGCCGCGGUGAAUACGUUCCCGGGCCUU
rnacentral:rRNA from 1 species